rnacentral:misc_RNA from 2 species
AACGCACAUUGCGCCCAUUAGUAUUCUAGUGGGCAUGCCUGUUCGAGCGUCAUUUCAACCCUUAAGCCUAGCUUAGUGUUGGGAGACUGCCUAAUACGCAGCUCCUCAAAACCAGUGGCAGAGUUUUUACGUACUCUGAGCGCAGUAAUUCUAUUCUCGCUUUUGAACACGUCUAGACGAUAGCCAAAAACCGCUUGCUUCGGCAGCACUUUUUUAAUGGUUGACCUCGGAUCAGGUAGGAAUACCCGCUGAACUUAA